UACAGAGGUCUCAAGCGUUGUUCGGAUUCAUUGGGCGUAAAGCGCGCGCAGGCGGUCCUUUAAGUCUGAUGUGAAAUCCCGUGGCUUAACCACGGGCGGUCAUUGGAAACUGGGGGACUUGAGUGCAGAAGAGAAGAGCGGAAUUCCACGUGUAGCGGUGAAAUGCGUAGAGAUGUGGAGGAACACCAGUGGCGAAGGCGGCUCUUUGGUCUGUAACUGACGCUGAGGCGCGAAAGCGUGGGGAGCGAACAGG
rnacentral:rRNA from 1 species